CUUUGAUACCACUUGUUAGGGAAAUUGACCAGAUAACCAAGAAAGCAGAUUUAACGUGAAAACCCUUACGGGGAAAAACCACGGGCGUCAAUCGGCAAUAACCACUAUGAGGUGAUGAUUACAAUAGCAGGGGAAUACAUCGGGCUGUCGCACCCUUCCCGUGCAGCUAAGAGGUAUAUAUAUGGAAAAAUCAAGGAGUCCUAAUAGGAAAAAGCUGACAGAAUCAUAUUAGGAAACUAAUUCUACUCCCACUCCAAGUAGAAAACGGUUAGAAGAAACAUAGAAGAAAACUAGUAAUAUAAUCCAAAUACAUUAUAGUUAAUAAUUUGAAUCAUAUCUUUAACAAAAAUAUAUCAUUAUUAUUACUAUGGUUCAUGUCGUGCAAUAUCAUGGCUACGCGCACCAGGGUGACAGCUCGAUAAGGGUAAGUAUGUGGCGGUGGAUCUGUUGAUUUGUCGAAGAUGACGAGUGGCCAUGACUCAUGGAAGAUAUGCGCCAAACAUAGAGCCAGCUUCAUCUGACAGAGAGACCAGUGUUCCUAGAUGGUAGACAAAUGAAGACACGCUAACUGAUCGAGAUGAAGGCAACAAUUUUCCUUAGCAAAAGUUGUGGCAGGACAUGAGGAUGGGAAUGUGGGGGGAGAAUGAAC
rnacentral:lncRNA from 1 species